UACGUAGGGUGCGAGCGUUGUCCGGAAUUAUUGGGCGUAAAGGGCUCGUAGGCGGUCUGUCGCGUCGGGAGUGAAAACUCAGGGCUUAACCCUGAGCCUGCUUCCGAUACGGGCAGACUAGAGGUAUGCAGGGGAGAACGGAAUUCCUGGUGUAGCGGUGGAAUGCGCAGAUAUCAGGAGGAACACCGGUGGCGAAGGCGGUUCUCUGGGCAUUACCUGACGCUGAGGAGCGAAAGUGUGGGGAGCAAACAGG
rnacentral:rRNA from 1 species